rnacentral:rRNA from 1 species
CCUACGGGAGGCAGCAGUAGGGAAUCUUCCACAAUGGGCGAAAGCCUGAUGGAGCAACGCCGCGUGGGUGAAGAAGGUCUUCGGAUCGUAAAACCCUGUUGUUAGAGAAGAAAGGGCGUGAGAGUAACUGUUCACGUUUGGACGGUAUCUAACCAGAAAGCCACGGCUAACUACGUGACAGCAGCCGCGGGAAUAAGUAGGUGGCAAGCGUUGACCGGAUUCAUUGGGCGUAAAGGGAACGCAGGCGGGCGUUUAAGUGUGAGGUGAAAGCCUUCGGCUUAACCGGAGUAGUGCAUUGGAAACUGGGAGACUGGAGUGCAGAAGAGGAGAGUGGAACUCCAUGUGGAGCGGUGAAAUGCUUAGAUAGAGGGAAGAACACCAGUGGCGAAAGCGGCUCUCUGGUCUGUAACUGACGCUGAGGUUCGAAAGCGUGGGUAGCAAACAGGAUUAGAUACCCGGGUAGUC